GUUAAUCGGAAUUACUGGGCGUAAAGGGCAUGUAGGUGGUUUGUUAAGCCUUAUGUGAAAACCCUAGGCUUAACCUAGGAACUGGAUAAGGAACUGACAAGCUAGAGUGCAGUAGAGGAAGGUAGAAUUCCAGGUGUAGCGGUGAAAUGCGUAGAUAUCUGGAGGAAUACCAGUGGCGAAGGCGACCUUCUGGACUGACACUGACACUGAGGUGCGAAAGCGUGGGUAGCAAACAGGAUUAGAUACCCUGGUAGUCCACGCUGUAAACGAUAUCAACUAGCCGUUGGAUUAUUAAAGAAUUUGGUGGCGUAGCUAACGCGAUAAGUUGAUCGCCUGGGGAGUACGGCCGCAAGGCUAAAACUCAAAUGAAUUGACGGGGGCCCGCACAAGCGGUGGAGCAUGUGGUUUAAUUCGAUGCAACGCGAAGAACCUUACCUACUCUUGACAUCCAAAGUACUUUUCAGAGAUGAAAGGGUGCCUUAGGGAACUUUGAGACAGGUGCUG
rnacentral:rRNA from 1 species